AUUGAACGCUGGCGGCAGGCCUAACACAUGCAAGUCGAACGAGUGGCAGACGGGUGAGUAAUGUCUGGGAAACUGCCUGAUGGAGGGGGAUAACUACUGGAAACGGUAGCUAAUCCCGCAUACCAUCAGAUUGGCCCGGAUGGGAGUGGCUAGUUGGUGGGGUAACGGCUCACCACGGCAACGCUCCCUAGCUGGUCGGAGAGGAUGACCGGCAAAACUGGAACUGAGACACGCGCAAGACUCCAACGGGAGGCAGAAGUGGGGAACAUUGCACAAUGGGCGAAAGCAUAACGAAGCCAUGCGGCGGAGAUGAAGAAGGCCUCGGGGUUGUAAAGUACGUUCAGCGGGGAGGCGGUACCCGCAGAAGAAGAACCGGCUAACUCCGUGCCAGCCGCCGCGGUAAUUC
rnacentral:rRNA from 1 species